CUAACUAUAAAUAAUUAUAUUUAUUUGUUAUAUGCAGACUUGCUGUCCUGCUUACGCUAACCACUCCAUGCCUCAUGGUGAGUAAAGACCAAAGCCACCUAAACAAUCGAAAGCCAUCAACCAUUUUGCCUACCAAUUGAAGUUUGGCACAAAUGAAUUACUAUAGCUAGUAGAAUUAAGAUUAGGGUGGCAGAACGAUAUGACAUGUAGUUGAAGCCUCACCCCACCGCACUUGCAAGUCUGCUGCCUCGAAGGCCAUCAACCUUGAUGUCAUCUCUGAGUGUAUACCCUAGUAUCCAGAAGCCCAAUGAGAUUUGACUAAUCCAGUAAGGAGAUCGAGUAUUAAAGGUUAUUCUCCCUCCCAACGAGUGCGCUUCCCGAGAUUCGAAUCUAUGUUCUCCUCCUUAUGAACGUGAAUUGCUUACCACUCAAUCCACACUUUUAGUGA